rnacentral:rRNA from 1 species
CCUACGGGUGGCAGCAGUGAGGAAUAUUGGUCAAUGGACGAGAGUCUGAACCAGCCAAGUAGCGUGAAGGAUGACUGCCCUAUGGGUUGUAAACUUCUUUUAUAAAGGAAUAAAACGAGGCACGUGUGCCUUUUUGCAUGUACUUUAUGACUAAGGAUCGGCUAACUCCGUGCCAGCAGCAGCGGUAAUACGGAGGAUCCGAGCGUUAACCGGAUUUAUUGGGUUUAAAGGGAGCGUAGAUGGGUUGUUAAGUCAGUUGUGAAAGUUUGCGGCUCAACCGUAAAAUUGCAAUUGAUACUGGCAGUCUUGAGUACAGUUGAGGUAGGCGGAAUUCGUGGUGUAGCAGUGAAAUGCUUAGAUAUCACGAAGAACCCCGAUUGCGAAGGCAGCUUACUAAACUGUGACUGACAUUGAUGCUCGAAAGUGUGGGUAGCAAACAGGAUUAGAUACCCUAGUAGUC